rnacentral:rRNA from 1 species
AGCGAACGCUGGCGGCAGGCCUAACACAUGCAAGUCGAACGAACCUUUCGGGGUUAGUGGCGGACGGGUGAGUAACACGUGGGAACGUGCCUUUAGGUUCGGAAUAACUCAGGGAAACUUGUGCUAAUAACGCAUGUGCCCUUCGGGGGAAAGAUUAAUCGCCUUUAGAGCGGCCCGCGUCGGAUUAGCUAGUUGGUUGAGGUAAUGGCUCACCACGGCGACGAUCAGUAGCUGGUCUGAGAGGAUGAUCAGCCACAUUGGGACUGAGACACGGCCCAAACUCCUACGGGAGGCAGCAGUAGGGAGUCUUGCGCAAUGGGCGAAAGCCUGACGCAGCCAUGCCGCGUGAAUGAUGAAGGUCUUAGGAUUGUAAAAUUCUUUCACCGGGGACGAUAAUGACGGUACCCGGAGAAGAAGCCCCGGCUAACUUCGUG